UUAAAAAGACAUUUAAAUACCCUAAAGGCACCAAAUACCAUCUGAUCUUGAAUGUUAAGCAGAGUGAUCCCUGGUUAGUAUUUGGAUGGGAGAUCGCCAAUGAAUUUCAGGUGCUUUAGGAU
rnacentral:rRNA from 1 species